GACGAACGCUGGCGGCGUGCUUAACACAUGCAAGUCGAACGGUGAAGCGCCUUCCUUUUUGGUGGGUGUGGAUGAGUGGCGAACGGGUGAGUAACACGUGAGUAACCUGCCCCCUUCUUCUGGAUAACCGCAUGAAAGUGUGGCUAAUACGGGAUAUUCUGGGUCUGUCGCAUGAUGGGUCUGGGAAAGAUAUUGUUUCGGUGGGGGAUGGGCUCGCGGCCUAUCAGCUUGUUGGUGGGGUGAUGGCCUACCAAGGCGGUGACGGGUAGCCGGCCUGAGAGGGUGGACGGUCACACUGGGACUGAGACACGGCCCAGACUCCGACGGGAGGCAGCAGUGGGGAAUAUUGCACAAUGGGCGCGAGCCUGAUGCAGCGACGCCGCGUGAGGGAUGGAGGCCUUCGGGUUGUGAACCUCUUUCGCCAGUGAAGCAGGCCUGCCUCGUUUGUGGGUGGGUUGACGGUAGCUGGAGAAGAAGCGCCGGCUAACUACGUG
rnacentral:rRNA from 1 species